rnacentral:lncRNA from 1 species
GGGGUUUCUUUAAAAGAAUUAGGCGGUGAACCCCUUUUUUCUUUCCUUUGGAAUUUAGAGAAGUAGUUAGCCUUUCUUUCUUCUUCUUCAAUAUUUUUAUUUUAUUUUAAAAUUUUCCCCCUUUUGGUGGUAGAAAAGCUUAAAGAAGUGGUCGGCCAAUAAGAAUAAGAAACAGAAGGCAGACAAAGAAUUUGUUGAAAGGUGAGAUGAAUGAAUGAAUGAAUCCAAUAUCCGUCUGGAUUAGAUUAUAUUCUCAUAGAUCAGAGGCAACAAGGAGGUCCUACGCAGCGUCAGAUUUGUAUGCAUGGAUAUGUCCUUGUUUGGAGUAUAUUCUUGGUUCAUGUGAUUAUAUCCCAUCCGGUGAAUGUAGCAACAAUUACGCUUUCCCAGUUAGUAAAACUGAAGAAAUCAAUCUUAUUUCUCAUACCCUUUUGCUCUUGCCUAUAGACUUUAACAGAUUGCUACACAGCAUCAUGUUUUCCUUUUUGAAGAAGUGCAUGUUUUACCCAAAAUGGUUCACUUAUCAACGUUAUGAUGUUAGUUAAAAAACAAAAAAAA